rnacentral:rRNA from 1 species
ACGGGAGGCAGCAGUGGGGGAUAUUGCACAAUGGGGGAAACCCUGAUGCAGCGACGCCGCGUGAGUGAAGAAGUAUUUCGGUAUGUAAAGCUCUUUAAGUUGGGAAGAUAAUGACGGUACCAACAGAAUAAGCCCCGGCUAACUACGUGCCAGCAGCCGCGGUAAUACGUAGGGGGCAAGCGUUAUCCGGAUUUACUGGGUGUAAAGGGAGCGUAGACGGCUUUGCAAGUCUGAAGUGAAAGCCCGGGGCUCAACCCCGGAACUGCUUUGGAAACUGUAGAGCUGGAGUGCAGGAGAGGUAAGUGGAAUUCCUAGUGUAGCGGUGAAAUGCGUAGAUAUUAGGAGGAACACCAGUGGCGAAGGCGGCUUACUGGACUGUAACUGACGUUGAGGCUCGAAGGCGUGGGGAGCAAACAGGAUUAGAUACCCUGGUA